rnacentral:lncRNA from 1 species
UUUUAGAGUUCGAUUCUCAUCUGAAUCUCAUUUAUUUUGUUAUAAUGCUCCUCUGGAACCCUUUUUCUUUUUUUAGAGUUCGAUGCUCCUCCAGAAGCCUCUUUUUUAGAAUCCAAUGCUCCUAUGGAUAUGAUUCAUUUUGUUUCGAUGCUCCUCCGGAAGCCUCUUCUUUAGAAUCCAAUGCUCCUAUGGAUCUGAUUCAUUUUAUUGCUCCUCCUGAACCCUUUUCAUU